UGAAACCCCGUCUCUACUAAAAAAUACAAAAAAUUAGCCGGGCGUGGUGGUGGGCGCCUGUAGUCCCAGCUACUCGGGAGGCUGAGGCAGGAGAAUGGUGAGAACCCGGGAGGCGGAGCUUGCAGUGAGCCGAGAUCGCACCACUGCACUCCAGCCUGGGUGACAGAGCUAGAGUCCAUCUCAAAAACAAAACAAAACAAAACAAAACAAAACAAAACCAUUCUGUCAGUCUGUGAAGGGGUGAGCCCUAAGAAAUACAUCUCCCUGCCUCCUUCUCUCUUCUGUUCCCACCUCCUCUCUAGUCAAGUGAGAUUCUUCCCUGAGGAACCAAACAUUAGUAAGAGAAAAUGAGCUACUUCAGCAACUGAAAACUAAACUCUAGUAAACUACAGUCAUAAGUCUAGUUCUCAUCAACUAUUUUAUAUAUCACUUUGGUUGUUUUCAUUGUCUGUUUCAAGUAAGCAAUGUGGUCCUUUCUCCUUUGUAAGGCUAAUUUUAGGUCAACCUCUGUUAGCCUUAUUUCCUCCCCGCCAACUCCCCCCCCAAAAAACCCUUUUAGUUUUAAAGAAAGCUUCUUUGCAUUUUUGCCCUUUCUAAGAGGUAGGGUAUUUACCCUAUAUUAUUUUAAUAGGAUCAUAUUUGCUCUGAAGUAAAUCAAUUUGUUUAACUUUAUUAAAUUUGAUGCCUUUGGGCUAGCCUCUGAAACAGCAAACUUAUAGGCAAUUAAAUAAUUGUUAUUAAAACGAUCUACUUAUUUUUUCUUGUCUCCAGCCUUUACAGUUAAAAUGUUCCUUUGGAAUAUUGCUUUGUAGGGAAGUAAAUCUUUGUUCCUCGUGAAAUGGGCUUUAAAACAGCCCAGAGCAAUGGGCUGGCCCAGAACUUGGGAGUCUCAAGUUUUCAUUCUCACCCACUGCGGAGUCUUCCUGGCUCCCAGGACCACGGCCUCGGGGGCCCAUGUGUACUAGGAGGGGCUGCACCUGGACAGUCCCUGGGGUCCAUUCCACCCACCCUACCUACCCCACCUUACAGCUUCAUCCCCCUCUUCUGCCACCCAUCCAGGCCUGGGGCAGCCCCCACUGUCCCACGUGCCAGCCACAGGAAUUCCCCUUCCUCUCAACUCCCAGCACCUGGCGACACCUCAACCCAGUCUCCUCCACACUGUCCCUCUCUGCUCCCUCCCCACCUUUGUGUCCAGUCCUCCCUUUAGAUGAAAUGUUUCCCAAGGCAGAGACUGCUGUAAAACCUCUUGAUCUUUCCCAAGGCCUUAGAUGCUGCCAAAAAUUAGCCAGGCGUGGUAGCAUGUGCCUGUAAUCCCAGCUACUUGGGAGGCUGAGGCAGGAGAAUCACUUGAACCCAGGAGGCAGAGACUGCAGUGAGCUGAGAUCGUGCCAUUGCACUCCAGCCUGGGCGACAAAAGUGAAACUCCAUCUCAAAAACAAACAAACAAACAAACAAACAAAAGUUUGGGCAUCAGAAUUGGGCUGGCUUCCUAUCGUCUUACUUCCAGGCAAAGCAUCUCAGUUCUCUCAGCUGAAUGGCAAAACCUACAAAGUGGGGUCAACCCCGAGACGAAGGAGUUGAGGACUUAGGAUUCAGAGUCCCAGAUUCCAGCCCAUUGGUUCUAGAGAUUUCUCUGAAUUAGGGAUUCGACAGCACCCCCUCUGAAAGUCACCUGAGAUCCCAGGUUCAGGUAACAGUCGACAGACAGCA
rnacentral:lncRNA from 1 species